rnacentral:rRNA from 1 species
UGGGGAAUAUUGGACAAUGGGGGGAACCCUGAUCCAGCCAUGCCGCGUGUGUGAAGAAGGCCUUAUGGUUGUAAAGCACUUUAAGCGAGGAGGUGGGUACUGGUAUUAAUACUACCAGCUACUGGACGUUACUCGCAGAAUAAGCACCGGCUAACUCUGUGCCAGCAGCCGCGGUAAUACAGAGGGUGCGAGCGUUAAUCGGAUUUACUGGGCGUAAAGCGUGCGUAGGUGGUUCGUUAAGUUGAAUGUGAAAGCCCCGGGCUCAACCUGGGAGCUGCAUCCAAAACUGGCGAGCUAGAGUAGGGCAGAGGGUGGUGGAAUUUCCUGUGUAGCGGUGAAAUGCGUAGAUAUAGGAAGGAACACCAGUGGCGAAGGCGACCACCUGGGCUCAUACUGACACUGAGGUGCGAAAGCGUGGGGAGCAAACAGG